GACGAACGCUGGCGGCGUGCUUAACACAUGCAAGUCGAGCGGAAAGGCCCUUCGGGGUACUCGAGCGGCGAACGGGUGAGUAACACGUGAGUAAUCUGCCCUUGGCUUUGGGAUAACUACCGGAAACGGUGGCUAAUACCGGAUACGACAACCGUCUGCAUGGGCUGGUUGUGGAAAGUUUUUUCGGCCAGGGAUGUGCUCGCGGCCUAUCAGCUUGUUGGUGGGGUAAUGGCCUACCAAGGCUUCGACGGGUAGCCGGCUUGAGAGGGUGACCGGCCACACUGGGACUGAGACACGGCCCAGACUCCUACGGGAGGCAGCAGUGGGGAAUAUUGGACAAUGGGCGGAAGCCUGAUCCAGCAACGCCGCGUGAGGGAUGACGGCCUUCGGGUUGUAAACCUCUUUCAGUACCGACGAAGCGCCGAUGAUGGUGGUGACGGUAGGUACAGAAGAAGCACCGGCCAACUACGUG
rnacentral:rRNA from 1 species